rnacentral:rRNA from 1 species
UUGUCGAGACCCGAACGGACGAUCGCGAACCCGUAGACGCCCCCGCGGGGGGCGGAGGGAGGGCGGACACUCCAUCCGCCCGACCCCUGCGCCGCCCCGGGGUCACCAUGGCCGCCCCCGCCCCGCCUCGCCGCGGGACGGGCGGCGGGAACAAUACCCGGCGCGGUGGGCGCCAAGGAACAGUGCAGUCGGAGUGCACCGCGCGCCGGUCCCGGCGCGCGGCGCGAUCCUUCCAUACGUCGAACUUUUACGACUCUCGGCAACGGAUAUCUUGGCUCUCGCAUCGAUGAAGAACGUAGCGAAAUGCGAUACUUGGUGUGAAUUGCAGAAUCCCGUGAACCAUCGAGUCUUUGAACGCAAGUUGCGCCCGAGGCUAUCCGGCCGAGGGCACGCCUGCCUGGGCGUCACGCCUCGCGUCGCUCCGCGCACCCCACCCCCCGCCCGACCCGGGGAGGCGGCGGGCGCGGACGCGGAGAUUGGCCCCCCGUGCCUCGCGGCGCGGCGGGCCAAAGUGCGGGCCGCCGGCCGGGACGGACGCGGCGAGUGGUGGGCGGACACGUACGGCGCUGUAAGCCGCCUCCGACCCCCGGCCCCAGCGGCGCAUGCUAGGAACCCAUGCCGAGCACCCCUCGGAACACGAUCCCA